UUCGCGUUUUUUUUUGGUUCGUUUGAUGAAAAUUUGAAAAUAAAUAAAACCACCCAUGGUAUAAGAAACUAAAAACAUGACCGCACUAACUCGAAAAAAGAGAAAAAAAUCCACACACGUUCACGCAUAAAUACACGAUCGUCUGAUAACUUCCCUAUGUGAGCCAAUCGGUAAAAGAAAAAACCGAAAAAUAGCAUAUUUCUGCCCCUUUUGAUUUUAUAGAAUCGGAUAUAUAUAUAAAAAAAAAAGAAUUUUAUAGAAUCGGCGGAAGGGGCCGAAACGCAACUCUCAAAUCCUCCGUCCGACAAUACCUUCUUCUCAAAAGAUUAUCGUAUUUUCAGGUAAAUUAGUAUCCUCUUAGGUAAAUUUGCAUUUUGAUUGUUUGAUCCACGGAAAUUGAGUGUGGCUUUUUUCUUUUUUUUGGUUAAAAAAAAUUGUUUUUAUGUUGUAAUUUCUUACCUGUGUCAAUUGGUAUUGCCUAUGUUUUCUAUUAGUCACGAUAAAUUAUUGUUAGUUGUGAUGAUUUGCUAUUAAAGGUUUAAACUUUCAUGUCUUUGAUUUGUUGAAGAUUGAUAACUCAGAGUUUGCAGUGGUAGUGCUCAAAUGAAACUAAUGAUUUGUUCUGAUUCAAAUUAUUCAUUAUAGAAAUUAGUGUUGUACACUCUACAUUCUUACAACCUAUUUGUUGUUUAAUUUGUUAAUGGAUUUUAGUUUCUCUGUGGACGACAAAGAUUUGGCAUCAAUCGGCUACAUUAAACUUAAGUCUUCACAGAACGUAAAAGAACCUCCAGAAUGAUGACGAUUUGAUGAUUUAUCUGCCAUUCUCCUCUUUCUUAUGCACGGAAAUCUAUACACAGUGCAUUAGGGAACCCCCAAAGUUCCAUAUUCUUAAUUCCUUUACAGCCAAAUUUGUGUAUGAUCAAACAACAGCGAUUAAGAACGGCUCCGGAAACAAUUUUCUAGACGGUUUAAUAAGAGGUUAUUGAUGACUGUAGAAAAUAGCAUGCCUUCUUAGCAAUUUAACUGAAAUUUUUGUUUCGCGCGUUCUAAAUAUUCAAAAAAAUUGCAGCACAAAUUUUGUACCAGCAAACAUAAGAGGUUAAAGAGAGCUCCUGAAGCAAUUUAGUGUGCAGGUAAACAGAGGUUAAGGAUGUCUAUAUAUCUCUGUUGCUUUUGGUGAAUUUCAUAUAUUGUAGAAAGAUUGAUGUUUUGGAAUUGUGUUUGUUUUCUUACAUAUAUUGUUGAAUUGUUUUAGUUCCAGUUAUAUGAUUCCCCAGUGCCUCAUAUACUACAAACUCUCAGACUGACCAAGAAACUCAAUUUUCCGAAUUAGGAAAAAUAUAUAUUUUUUCCUUCUCUUUAUUGUGAUAAUAAGCUACCUGAGGUUCUAUGUUUUUUCAUUUCCGUUCUAUACUUAUUAUCGAUUGGACAAUAUUACAAAUAAUUAAAGUAUUUGCACUUAUGUUUCCCGAAAUUGAAAAUUGAUACUGAUGAAUUCUCUUUAAACUACACUUUUGCAGAACUUGGUCAUUUUUCGUUAUUCUCGGACGAAGAUGAAUGACAAAGAGAGAAACACGAUAAGAAGAACCUUAACUUGCAUAAUUGAUAGGAGGUACUCACUAUUUCAAUUGAAUUUAUAUUACAACACUUAAUGUUUAAUGUUAUGGAGUUCAUUUAUUUUAUAGGUUUGUGGUUAUUUUUCAGACAAAAAUUGUGACGAGAAGAUGUUUAAUCUGUCGAUUAAUACACAAAUUAGCUGAUUGAAUGAAGAAUGGACUAACAUCCUCAUCCAUCAGAAGAUUGAUAGUUACUCUUCCAAUAUGCAAGUCUGUAUAUAAUGUGUAUAAUAUUUUUCAAAUUUGUAUGUAGUACAGUAGCCGUAUAAUAUUUUGCAAGUUUGUAUAUAAUGUGUACCGUGUCUGUAUCUGCCUUUUUUUUUCCCUUUUUAAAUGUAUGUAUAACCAGUGUAAUGUAUCAAAGCAGUUUGUAUAUAAAAUGUUUCAUUUUUUCUCCUUGAUGA